rnacentral:rRNA from 1 species
AGUGAACGCUGGCGGUAGGCCUAACACAUGCAAGUCGAACGGCAGCACAGUAAGAGCUUGCUCUUACGGGUGGCGAGUGGCGGACGGGUGAGGAAUACAUCGGACUCUACUUUUUCGUGGGGGAUAACGUAGGGAAAGCUACGCUAAUACCGCAUACGACCUACGGGUGAAAGCAGGGGGUCUUCGGACCUUGCGCGGUUGAAUGAGCCGAUGUCGGAUUAGCUAGUUGGCGGGGUAAAGGCCCACCCAGGCGACGAUCCGUAGCUGGUCUGAGAGGAUGAUCAGCCACCCUAGAACUGAGACACGGUCCAGACUCCUACGGGAGGCAGCAGUGGGGAAUAUUGGACAAUGGGCGCAAGCCUGAUCCAGCCAUAGCGCGUGGGUGAAGGAGGCCUUCGGGUUGUAAAGCCCUUUUGUUGGGAAAGAAAAGCAGCAGGUUAAUACCCCGCUGUUCUGACGGUACCCAAAGAAUAAGCACCGGCUAACUUCGUG